AAUCUAAUCCCCAAUCCCACGCCGCCGCCGCCGCCGCCGCCGCUCCUCUCACCCACCUUCAAGGAAGCGACGACGGCCGCUGCGGAGAAGCACGACGAGCCUCCUCUUCUCUUCUCUCUUUCUCUCUCCCUCCCUCCUCUCCCGCUCCAAUCCUCCCCUCCCUCUGCCCCAUCGCCGCCGCUCCACCACUCAAGCCACCGACGAGCCCCACCCACCCAGGGCACGGCCCUUUCACCCACCGACGCCGCCCGCCACUCACCGUCUCUCACUCUCCAGACGGGACGCUCCAGAUCGAUUCGGAGCAGGCCAGGCGGCGCCAUGGCCGCGUCUGGACUUCCGGACGCGCGCCGUCGUCGAGCUGGGCUCCGCUGGGAGAGGAGGACCGAGGGGGCCGCCGCCGUGUGCUUCUCUCUCGGGACGCCGCUCUUCCGCUGCUCCAACCGACCCUGCCGGUGCCGAUGAAAUGGAGCUUCCGCUGCUAGUUUUCUCCCCGCCUCGCUCUCUCUCUGUUCGAUUACAACCGUGGUUCGCUGAUAGGGGUCUUUUCUUCAACUCCCGCCCCGCCCCUCAGGUGGAGCUGCAGAGGUCCAUCAGGCAGGAGGUCUCUGUCUCCGUUCAAGGGGCAGCUAGUAGAUGUAUGAUGUAUGAUUUAUGAUGUAUGAUGAUGGGUUGAAAUGGGAGAUGGUGACGAAAGCAACUUGCUUCAACAACCACAUUGAUUCCCUUCUCUACAGGUUGGUUCCGCUCCCUUCCACUGCCGCAGAUCGAGCCAUAUAUGCAAAAGCCUCAUGAGGCGAGCGGGGGUCAUACAGAAAUCGCACAAUAAUUGUUCUACGUGAUCGGUUUGCGAUUUGUUCGAUUCCGAGCAGCAGGCGCACGGCAUUGACGACGCAGAGGAGGACGAGGACGAGGACAUGCGGAAUCCUACGACGCAGCUUGCUUGAACUAGUAAUACAACUGUGCUGGAUGAAAUCCUUGAUGGAACGUAGGAAAAGAAACAGAGCAAUUUCAUUUCAGAGAUAGACUCGAGUGCCAUUGCAGCAGCAUAUGCUUCAAUUCAAUGGAAAGGAGAUCUUGUGAUGAUGGUUGCUUCCAAUAGUAGGUUUAGUUGUUGUCUUUCUACAUCUCUAGUCGUUCUCCAAGGGAAGUUCUUGAGGGGUUUGCGUUCCUGCCAUUCAUUAUGUGUGAUAUGAUGCUUCUGGUCUUACAUGCGACGUCUUGUUUUCUCUUAUUGGUACGCCGAGAUCAGAUGGUUUUCUUCUUGUAGCUGCCACUUCUAAUUUUGGUAUAUCACAAUGACAAAUCAGAACUGGCAUAAUGUUGACAGAGAUGCACUACAUUUUCUAGAUUAACUAAUAGACACAAUUUUGAUUGCAUCAUGAAUAAAAACAACAAUUUUCCAUGCUUGGUAUGACAUCUGUACGCUCCAUGAAUUAAUUUAUACUAUCAAGAUAGCAUCAUGUUCAUAUCAAGAAAUGGAGUGGAAAGUUCAAUCAGAAAUGGAGUGGAUUUUUUUGAACCUGGACACUAUGGGUCGUUAGAGUUUCUAUAGUUUUGUUGCAAUUUUGAUUCUUUUUCUUUGGGAUUAACUGAUGCCUCCAAUUCGAUAUCACAUAUUCUUCUGUAGUUCCACGAGUUUGUCGCCAGGAUGCAAGCAGGAUCACCACCCCCUCCCUAGCCGCCAGUACUGCGAGAUGCAGGAGCUGGCUGUGUAUGUUCGGCUUAGUCUCAUCUUCGUCCAGCUCUCCACCGUCACCGUGCUGGCAGUGCUCCUGAGUUCCUCUUCUCCCCCUUGCUCUGAGCAUGUGGUCAUCAAGCCAUGGCUAUUCUGUAUAGCUCUGGGUCAUGGACUUUGUGCCAUGGCUACUUAGGUUUUUGGUUUGGCCUCAAUUGGGCUUUACAAAUGAUGCUCUGGUUGCUGAAGUUGUUGUAGCUAGUUAUAAACGAGUCAUUUCCCCUCUCGCUACGAGAUGGAUAUGUUGUACAAUGAUGAGAUAAAUACCUGCUGUUUUCCCUUUACCAAGCGAUCCAUGAGAUUUGCUAUGCAUGUACUUUUGGGUGUAUGCUGAUGAGAUAAACUGAUGUAUUGGAUACUUCUUCAACUCCCGCCCUGCCCCUCAGGUGGAGCUACAGAGGUUUCUGUCUCCGUUCAAAUGGAAACUGGUCUUUUUUUUAACCUGGACAGUAGGGAUUGAUAGAGUUUCUGUAGUUUUGUUGCAAUUUUUGAUUCAUUUUCAUUGGGAUUAACUGAAGCCUUCAAUUCGAUCUCACAGAUUAUUGCCAUAGUUCGGCGAGUUUGUCACGAGGAUGCAAGCAGGAUCGCCACUCACCCUAGCCGCUAGUACUACGAGAUGCAGCAGCUGGCCGUGUAGGUUCGGCUCGAUCACAUCUUUGUCCAGCUCUCCACCCUCACCGUGCUGGCAACGGCAUGGUUUGGCUUCGGCUUCAAACAUUAAGGAGUUCUAAAGAAAGGAGGAAGGAUCUUGUGCUUGUAAUUGAGUCAUGUGGAUGUUCCAAUCUUUUGUGAUUCCAGCUGUGGGAGAGCUAGUGGCUGGUGAUAGGCAGUUGUACCAAUACUUGGUUGAGAGCAUCCGUCGAUUUCCAAAACAGGAAAAGUUUGCUAGAUGAUUUUGAAACGCUGCCAUAUUAUUUUAUUGGGUCGAUGGCCAAGGUCCAUGGUGCGUCCGCGGUUGUAGGUUCUGCCACAUCUCAUCACCGGCAACGGCGUGGUUUGGCCUCAGCUACAAACAUUUAAGGUGAGUCCUCCAGGCUUCUCUUGCUCCUCCUGCAUUCUUCCCGUUGCUCUGGCCAUGUGGUCAUCGAGCCACGGCUGUGCCGUAUAGCUCUGGGUCAUGGCAUUAGUUGCAUGGCUACUUAGGUUUUGGCCCUGAUUGCCUCAAUUGGCUAGGCAAUGAUACGCUACUGGUUGCCAAAGUUCCUGUAUCUAGCAAAUGCUGCUAUUGCUGAAAGAAAUACUUGUGUUCUCCCUACCAUUUGUGUGGCUCAGAAUGUGAUCUUGUAUCCCAGGACUAGCAAUCUAGCAUCUCAAGGCUUCAUCUGUCUUGUGCUCGGUUAUCUGUCAAUGACCGAGCAUAUGUGUGUGUGUGUGUGUGUGUGUGUGUUAAGAGCUUUAGGUUUUGACAAGUGAAGCAGCAAGGAUGUGUAUCAUGAUGUCGAUUAUUUGUAUUCUUUUUCUGGUCACAACCACCGGUAUAUUUCCAUAUUGGCAUCCUUGGGUCUCACCCUAGCUAUCCGUUUAUUCAUGCCCAACACUUCAGUGUUGACUGUGUUUUCAUUAUUUGGACGGCAUUAAUAGAUAAAUAUGUUGCAUCCUUUAAUGCUCAUAAUGUUUUUGUCCUGUCUAACUGUAAUUGGUUGAGACAUAACCAAAUGUCAUGCAGAUAUAGGGAAUUGUAUGGCUAGAGCUUGGAUGUACUGUUUCUCAUGGACAUGAUAUAUACUCCCUCCGUUCCUAAAUAUUUGUCUUUUUAGGAUUUCAAAUGGACUACCACAUACAGAUGUACAUAGACACAUUUUAGAGUGUAGAUUCACUCAUUUUGCUCCGUAUGUAGUUUCUUGUUGAAAUCUCUAGAAAGACAAAUAUUUAGGAACGGAGGGAGUACUUUGCAUGUCCAGUCACUAGUGAGCGUGUGUUAAUGAACAACAGUUUCUGUUGACACUAUAAGAGCGUUUAAUAUUUCUUCAGUUCCUCUCGACUAACGGUAUUGCAGUCAUAAUCAUCCACCUCUAUAGCACGGUUCCGCCCAUGCUUGCAGUUUGAUAUCAGUUUGAUUGUGAAGUUAUAAAGUAGCUGAUGCUUGAAAACAAACAAAAAAGUGUUCAGAAUUGUUGUGAAAGAAGCUCUAUAGAAACUACACAUUGCUAAUUGUUACUCUCAGGCUUUUGCUCUAGUAACAAUGCUUCGUGCCGGUACUCUCAGACUGUUAUUCUUCAGUUUCACGUAGUCAUCUAAAAUUCUUGUUUAUUCAGAAUGUGGCUGAUUCCAAGGACAUGGUGGUAGUUGUGUUUUUGUUCAUGAAUGAAUGAAUUUCCGCAUUCCGAGUAAAACAUAGUGUCAAUGCAGGUUUGAAUAUAUUUAAUAUUCAGAGAUGUUGUGCUAGCACAUUAUUUCUUUUUGUAGAAGAACUCUCUGAGGAAUUAUGGCAGGUGUAAUGCCUUUGCAUUUAAGUAAAUAGCUAUAGAAUAUCUCUAGAGAGUUGCAUUCAGAGAAUCUUCAGUUUCAAGAAAUUUAUUGCUCCCCUCCAUAAAUGGGGUCAUUUAUGAUUGUGUAUUUUCUUCUGGUGGCUGGAUUCAAAUUUUAUUUUCUGACGAUGCGUUCUUUUUUCUAGUGGGUGAAAUAGAUCCCUAUUGAAUUGUCUUUGACUUGAACUUAAUUUUUUAUCACAUUCCAGCAAGCUCACAACCAUGGUAAUGGCAGAUUUCCGCCUCCUUGGGUGAUUGUUGCUAUCGCAGUUCUUGGUUUUGAUAAGAUCAUGAUGUUUCCGAGGUUUGUUGCUAUCGCAGUUCUUGGUUUUGAUAAGAUCAUGAUGUUUCCGAGGUAUGUAGCUCACUAGCUGCAGUAUAGCCACAGUAUGCGCAGGGUUUUCGAGCCUGAAUGGUUUGACGCCAAUAUCUGGCAUGCCAAUUCUUGGCAAGUCUAAAAAACUGGGUGGCUACCAAUUGGUUCUUGCUCAUCUCUAAAAAAGUUGCUAAUUUUUGGCAACUUCCAGUUUUGCCUAAUAUUGUCUUGCCAAAUACUAUUGGCAAUGUCAAAUGUUGGCAUCAAACCAAUCACUCUUCUUACGAAAAUUAUUAACAUGGUGCUGUCAUUCGUGUUGUGCUGUGCAGGAAUCCUAUAUACAUGUUCUUUCUAUCUGUGGGUUUUUUACUUGCCAAAGCUUUGGCAGUGCAGCUAGAUAUUGACAGAGAAUUCCAAAAUGGAAUGGUUCUUCGGAUUAUAUCUGUUUCAGAAAAACAACUACCUAGUAUGCAGAAUCUUCUAAACAAAGUCACAACUGAUCAGCGGAUGCGACGACCUUAGGCUGCAGAAGCUCCGGAGUCACAGCAACCACCGUCCUCUUGGUUCAGGUGAGUGGCGAAUUUGGUGCCGGCCAUUGAGCCGUUGAUUUAGUGUUGGGAUCUCUGUGGUGGUGUUCUCCCGGCCACCACAAUCAUGUGACCAUGAUGAUCUUUCUUUUGUAUGAAAUUGGUCUUUUGUACUCUCCGUUUCUAAUAAGAUCUUUUAGAGAUUUCAAUACGAACUACAUAUGGAUGUAUAUAGACGCAUUUUAGAGUGUAGAUUCACUCAUUUUACUCCGUAUGUAGUCUGUAUUGGAAUCUCUAAAAAUCCUUAUGUUUAGGAACGGAGGGAGUAAUUCAUUACUGGUUAGGUGGUUAGGCCUUUUUUCUGUUCCAUGCUAUUGUUGCUAAAGGGUUAGGCUCAAAUAUUCUGUUGUCAAUCUCCAAAGAAAAGAAUGAAAUUGGUCUCUUGUAACACAUUGCUGGUUAGGUGGUUUGGGGCUUAAAUGUUCAGUUGUCAGUGUCCAAAGCAAUUUGUGAACUGGAGAGAAUAAUUUUACUGAGGUUCUUUUAUGA